rnacentral:rRNA from 1 species
CCUACGGGAGGCAGCAGUAGGGAAUAUUGGGCAAUGGAGGCAACUCUGACCCAGCCAUGCCGCGUGCAGGAUGAAGGCGUUAUGCGUUGUAAACUGCUUUUAUAUAGGAAGAAAGAGUUCUUGCGAGAACAGUUGACGGUACUAUAUGAAUAAGCACCGGCUAACUCCGUGCCAGCAGCCGCGGUAAUACGGAGGGUGCAAGCGUUGUCCGGAUUUAUGGGUUUAAAGGGUGCGUAGGCGGUUUAUAAGUCAGUGGUGAAAGACGGUCGCUCAACGAUUGCAGUGCCAUUGAUACUGGUAGACUUGAGUGAGAUUGAGGUAGCUGGAAUGGAUAGUGUAGCGGUGAAAUGCAUAGAUAUUAUCCAGAACACCAAUUGCGUAGGCAAGUUACUAAGUCUCAACUGACGCUGAGGCACGAAAGUGUGGGUAUCAAACAGGAUUAGAUACCCUGGUAGUCCACACUGUAAACGAUGAUAACCUAACUGUUGGCCUUUUGGGUACUGUAGUAGAGAGAAGUAAGUAGUUAGUUACUACCNCGAGGAGACGCGACGACGUAGUAACGUAAGUAGUAGAGUAGAGACGUUAGACGACGACGACGACGGACGGACGAGGAGGGAG